AUAAUCUUUGUCCUGCCGUUAUGCUGCCGAAAUUCCGAUCGUUCGUUCGUUCGAUCAUUCGAUCGUUCAUCGUUCGUUCAUAGUCCCUAUUCAUCGUUCAUCGUUCGUUCAUAGUCCCUAUUCAUCGUUCUUCCAGAUAAUCUUUGUCCUGCCGUUAUGCUGCCGAAAUUCCGAUCGUUCGUUCGUACGAUCAUUCGAUCGUUCGUCCGUUCGUUCGUCCAAAUAAUCUUUUCCUGCCGUUAUGAUGCCGAAAUUCCGAUCGUUCGUUCGUCCGAUCAUUCGAUCAUUCGUCCGUUCGUUCAUAGUUCCUAUUCAUCAUUCAUCGUUCGUUCAUACGAACUAUUCACUAUCACUAUUCACCAUUACUAUUUACCAUUACUAUUCAUCGUUACUAUUCACUGACAGUAUUCACCAUCGUUACUAUUCAAUGUUACUAUUCACCAUCGUUACUAUUCAGUGUUACUAUUCAUCAUCGUUACUAUUCAUCAUCGUUACUACUCAUCGAUGAUAUCUAGUAACUUUUUCGUCGUCACUAUUCAUCGUUACUAUUCAUCGAUUAGCCGAUCACCCCAAAUUUCAACUACUCAUACAUCAUGCUGUCCAGUCCACCUAAGACCAGCUAGACCCAUAUUCCAGUCAUACGAACUCCGGUGACUGUGAUUUUCCUUCCAGUAGGGAACUUUCCAUCUGGUCACCCAUCCUAGGUUUCUCCAAGUUGAGCACGCUUAACUUUGAGAUUCCUUCGAACCAGGCUCCCAAACUCAGAUUCCAAUAAUUCUUGUUUCUAAAUUCUUAUCAAACUAUUCCCUAUCCAACCAUGUCAUCCCUUAAGCAUGGUCCAUAUUCCAGAAAACUCACAAAAUACUCUUGUCCCAUAUUCUGCCUAUAACUCUCCUGUUCAUACUAAGUCAGACGAUUCAUUCGUCACUAUUCUCACCAACAGUGAACUUCACUGUGCUACACCGCAUACACCCAGCUAUAAAUACACCCAGCUACCCUCUCCCUCUCCACACACACUCAACACCCUCAGCCAAGGCAAACACUCCACCCACUCAGUUACUCUGCUCUGCCGGCUACACGCAUAGUGUCGCUUCGCCUCCAGUCCACCCUCCUGUUAUCGGAGCGUUCGUGCCGUCUCGUGGAGGCCAGAUCCGCGAGUCUACGCUAAGCGGUGGAGUCAGAAGCCAGUUCCGCGAGCUCCCCUUCCCCCUUCGCUGAAUAAGCACG